GUCCAUGUAGGUGGCUCAAUCAUUUUAGAAAAACUUCAAAUAUCAUCCCUAUAGUUUUGUACUUUCUGACUAUAGUAUACUAUGGUAUAAAGUGUAUUAUUUUCGUAUCCUGCGAUUUUAUUUUUCUCUUUUUGAUAAUCCUUCAUUAAAUUUUUUAUUAAAUCAGUGACAAAUAUAAAAUUAAAGAAUACAAAAGUAAUAUUCGAUAAACUAUAGAUAGGGGUAUUUAAAAUUUUUUAUAUAUGAUUUAAUAAAAAGUUAUCAGAGUGGAUGAUGGAAAGAAAAAAUAAAAUUACAGGAUAUUAAAUUAAUAGACUUUAAACUAUAGAGUACUAAAGCGAGAAAAUGCAAAGUGGUAUUUAAACUUUACCCAUUAUUUUAGUAUUUGUUUUUAAUAGAAGGUGUGAUG
rnacentral:lncRNA from 1 species